CCUACGGGAGGCAGCAGUAGGGAAUCUUUCACAAUGGGCGAAAGCCUGAUGGAGCAACGCCGCGUGCAGGAUGAAGGCCUUCGGGUUGUAAACUGCUUUUAUAAGCGAGAAAUAUGAUGGUAACUUAUGAAUAAGGAUCGGCUAAUUACGUGCCAGCAGCCGCGGUCAUACGUAGGAGCCGAGCAUUAUCCGGAGUGACUGGGUGUAAAGAGUUGCGUAGGUGGCAUAAUAAGUAGCUAGUGAAAUCUGGUGGCUCAACCAUUCAGACUAUUAGCUAAACUGUUAAGCUCGAGACCGUUAGGGGUAACUGGAAUUUCUAGUGUAGGAGUGAAAUCCGUAGAUAUUAGAAGGAACACCAAUAGCGUAGGCAGGUUGCUGGGACGGGUCUGACACUAAGGCGCGAAAGCGUAGGGAGCAAACGGGAUUAGAUACCCGAGUAGUC
rnacentral:rRNA from 1 species